GAUGAACGCUGGCGGCAUGCCUAAGACAUGCAAGUCGAACGAAGUGGCCCAAUGAAGAAUGCGAGCUUGCUCAAAUUCGGAUUUGGUUUACCACUUAGUGGCGCAAGGGUGAGUAACACGUGGGUAAUCUACCUUCGAGUCUGGAAUAACAGUUAGAAAUGAUUGCUAAUGCCGGAUGAAAUUGGGAACGAAAUUUCAUUCUUUAUUAAAAGGAGCCUUUAAAGCUUCGCUUGAGAUGAGCCUGCGACGUAUUAGCUAGUUGGUGGGGUAAAGGCCUACCGAGGCAACGAUGCGUAGCCGACCUGAGAGGUUGACCGGCCACAUUGGGACUGAGAUACGGCCCAG
rnacentral:rRNA from 1 species